UACGGGGGGGGCAAGCGUUGUUCGGAAUUACUGGGCGUAAAGGGCUCGUAGGCGGCCAACUAAGCCAUACGUGAAAUCCCCAGGCUCAACCUGGGAACUGCGUCUGAUACUGGUUGGCUUGAAUCCGGGAGAGGGAUGCAGAAUUCCAGGUGUAGCGGUGAAAUGCGUAGAUAUCUGGAGGAAUACCGGUGGCGAAGGCGGCAUCCUGGACCGGCAUUGACGCUGAGGAGCGAAAGCCAGGGGAGCAAACGGG
rnacentral:rRNA from 1 species